rnacentral:rRNA from 1 species
UACAGGGGGUGCAAACGUUGCUCGGAAUCACUGGGCGUAAAGCGCACGUAGGCGGAUUGCUAAGUCAGGGGUGAAAUCCUGGAGCUCAACUCCAGAACUGCCUUUGAUACUGGCGACCUUGAGUCCGGGAGAGGUGAGUGGAACUGCGAGUGUAGAGGUGAAAUUCGUAGAUAUUCGUCAAGAACACCAGUGGCGAAGGCGGCUCACUGGCCCGGUACUGACGCUGAGGUGCGAAAGCGUGGGGAGCAAACAGG